UGGGGAAUUUUGGACAAUGGGCGAAAGCCUGAUCCAGCAAUGCCGCGUGUGUGAAGAAGGCCUUCGGGUUGUAAAGCACUUUUGUCCGGAAAGAAAUCCUUGGGCUCUAAAUACAGUCGGGGGAUGACGGUACCGGAAGAAUAAGCACCGGCUAACUACGUGCCAGCAGCCGCGGUAAUACGUAGGGUGCAAGCGUUAAUCGGAAUUACUGGGCGUAAAGCGUGCGCAGGCGGUUUGCUAAGACCGAUGUGAAAAUCCCCGGGCUCAAACCUGGGGAACUGCAUUGGGUGACUGGCAGGCUAGAGUAUGGCAGAGGGGGGUAGAAUUCCACGUGUAGCAGUGAAAAUGCGUAGAGAUGUGGAGGAAAUACCGAUGGCGAAGGCAGCCCCCCUGGGCCAAAUACUGACGCUCAUGCACGAAAAGCGUGGGGAGCAAAACAGGAUUAGAUACCCUGGUAGUCCACGCCCUAAAACGAUGUCAAACUAGUUGUUGGGGAUUCAAUUUUCCUUAGUAACGUAGCUAACGCGUGAAGUUGACCGCCUGGGGAGUACGGUCGCAAGAUUAAAAACUCAAAUGAAUUGACGGGGUCAUAGCUGUUUCCU
rnacentral:rRNA from 1 species